AUGAAAAAUUGUGUUAUUUAAUAUGAUGCAACUUGUGUGUAAAUGACACAUGUACACAUCUUAAGAACAUUGCAGUACAGCCCCUAUGCACUAGCCAUUCCAUAACAUUCUACUGUUUUAGUUGUAUCCCAGUUUGUCUUAUGUGUUGUUGCUUUUUCUCUGAAUAUUCCAUAAGUGGUCCAACCGGUGGCUGCUUUCACGUAUGUGUGUGUGCGUGCCCCUGUGUGAACAUCUGAGACAGAUUUUGUCAUGGAUUGGAAGGCCAAACUGUCAAAGCUGUCUAUUUGAUUAAUGGCCGACAGAGCCCAGCAAGUGACACCUGCCAAAUGGUCAUUUGCAGUGUAUUUGUCAUAUAAAGUGUGUGUGUGUGUCCUUUGUUUGAAUGUGUACGGAAGAGGAGCUCAGAAUGAUCAAAGACAGUAAUCUGACCCGGUGGCACACGUAAGCGGAGGUGGGUGGGAACCAGCUAUCUGUUAUUUGGAUUCAAGUAACUUUUUGUAAUACUGUAAAUUGUACUUGUCAGAGUAGUUUUAAUGCAACAAACUUUACUUGAGUAAUUUUAUAAAGAACAAUACUAUUAUUUAUUUUACUCCUUUACAUUGAGUUACAUUAUGCUUGCUACUUGUAUUUCUGUCGACAAUGCAGAGGGGCAGGGUUCGCUUCCGGCACCUUUCUCUGUGGAGUUUGUAGGUUAUCCCCGUGCCUGCGUGAGUUUUUUCCGGUUUCCUCCCACAUUCCAAGAACUUGGCAGGUUAACGUAACACUCUAACUCCUCCCUCGGUGUAAGUGUGAGUUGGUUGUUCAUCUAUAGGGGUUUUUCACACGGCACACAUUUGCUCCGGCGCUGCACUGAUGUAUUUUGUUGCGAUAUAUUUUGCACCGCAGCAAAUUAUCAAAUUUGCCUUUUUCCGGGGCUACGCCGGAGCUAAUUUGCACGUGUGAACGCUCUACUGGGGCAGCCCCGGCGUAGCACCGGACCAACUUUUGCCGUGUGAACACCCCUUAUGUGUGCCCUGCAAUUAGCUAGCAAGCAGUUCAGGGUGUACCCCAGCUACUGCCUGAAGACAACCGGGAUAGGCUCCAGCAUGUCCUUGACCCUCGUGAGGAUAAGCGGAUCAGUAAAUGGAUGGAUGGAUGGAGUCAUAUUAUUCUGAAGGAACAGCACUAUUACUUGAAUACUACUAAUGCUACCAUCACCGCCUCUGUAGAUAAGUCCAGGCUAACAAUCAAGGCGCAAUUAUAAAAUGUUAAAUUUUAUACAGUAUCUCUCAGUAUUUCUUUUUUUAAUCAACCUUAAAAGAUUGUCAAAGCAGGAGUAGCUGGGCGGAAGGACUUUUACGUACAGUAUUUUUUUCACACCAACAGCAAAUAAGGAAAGUGGCUUUAUUUCAUGUUCACAUCCAUUGACCUUUUAUCAAGAUGAAAGCAUCACCUUUGCCUUCUACUUGGCUGUUUCAUACACAAAGACACAUUUGUAAUUCAGGAGCACACAAUGAAAAGAUGUUUUACAAGGACAACCGUGCUGCAGCGUGUUCUUUGUUGUUCUUUUUCACCAGCGGUUGAAAGUAAAACAACAAUUUAAAUUGAUCACUCGCAUGGCUUCCGUCAGCAGUUCUGCUUUUAGCUCGAUAAAUAGUAAUUUAAGGAGAUUAUUUGAGUGAAAUAUUGAGUGAGAUACAUUAUGAGCAGAAGUUGAGUAUUGAUAUUGUAAUCGUGUGAUGAAAGCCCACAUCAUGGGGUUCUGACCCAACCUAAGCUUCUCCUUCAAGCCUUUUAUAACUGAAUAAGCGGCUGUAUUACACGAGUUUUGUCAAAAACGAUUCUACUCACACCAGACACUUAUUAACUUAACCCGGACAUUGACGUCAGUGGCGUUCCGAGUCUGAAUGGUAUGUUGUGAGAGAGCCCCCGUGACAAAACCCUCGUACACACACAUGCACGCAUGCUGAGGAUGCAUGCUGCGUUCUUUCAAAUACAUUGCAUUGUGAGAAAAUAAGAAAUCAUCAAAUAAGAGUUAGAAUCAUUGAACCCGAGAGUUUAAAUAAAUCUUGAUUACAGUAUUGAUAUUAAUUAUACAGUGAUUGCUUUCCCAUAAGGCUAACUUGUAAAACUAUUUACAAAAUGUUGUCUUGCUUCCUUAAUGAUCCCAAAUCGUCAUCGACGUGUCUACUGCCCCAUUGACUCCACAAGGAGGCACAAAUCCCACAUAUGAACAAUAAUUGACCUAUCGUGCAUCAAGCAAUAAAAAAAAGCAUCUCACGUCCCAUUUGUAUUCAUUUAUUUUUAAUUUGGGUCUCGCUAUCACCCCUCAGCAAUGGCGCUUUCCGCGGCCACACAUAAUGCAAAUGAUGGAAGUCGCCGCUACGUAUGGUGGGUGAAUGCAGCUCAAGCUAAUCUACUUUAGACCACAAACACCUUGAGAGAGAAUUAGCAGCACUUUGCUGCGUGUAACCAAUUAGUGUACUCCAUUUUAAGAUGGAAAUAAUCAAAAAUCAAAGAUGAUUAAAAUAAUUCUUCAAGAUCAAUUGAUUAAUUGAACUGUUUUACACAUCCCAACAAUCUAAAAUAAUGUACAAAUUAAGGAAAAUGCCGUAAUCAGUUCUUGAAGGUAUGCCGAUUUUCCACACACAUCUGUAUUUGGUUCUCAUUCUAUUGUGCGAAUGCAAGUUUCGAUCGCCGUUUAGUUUUUGUCCACUUUCUGUUCCCACAACAAGGGCUUUGAUUAAAGUGCCACUUUUUCCGUUGCUGAAACAAUCCAUUCAACACGAUUCGACUUACUAAUUCCUUCCAUUUCGAUCGCUUCUAUUCUUCUCCACAUUGACUUUUCUCACCGCAUAGUUUGGGCACUUGGUUUUCUGUUCUUUGUCUCUGUGUCUAGGGCCAGCUCCUGGGGGCUCUUAGACCAAGCUCAUUAGACAGGUUGAGACCCCCUUAAAUAAUACAGCUCCACUUACACUCCCUCCGUCUUCUCUCGUUUCACCUUUUGUCCCCUUGCUCAGCCCCUUUUUCUUUUCCCUCCGCAUGUAAUGACUUCGCACAACCCUCCUGCACUUCCUUCCUUCCGCCUCAUCUGUCUGUCUCAUUUACUGUGUUGCGCUCUGCUCUCUCUCUCUCUAACACACACCCACCUUCCAUCUCAAAAUGCUCUUUUCUUCAUUCCCAUGGGAACGAAGAGCGUUGAAAAGAAAACUAAAUUCUUAGUGACUGUUGAGGAUCUCUCUCUCUCUCUGUCUCAUUCCUUAUUUGUGUUUAGAAUGUGUGUGUGUGUGGGUGUGUGUGCGUGCGCACACUCGCACGAGGGCUGUAACUUCUACCUCGAUGCAGGAUACUCACGUACAUGCAUAUACAUACAGUACAUGCACAGUAACGAUAACUGAAUGCUCCAUCUAUGAAUCGGCAUUUUGGUCCAAAUUUUACUAAUGUGAAAAUAGUUAACUCGUGUGAUUGUGGUCUACUCUAUAUUUAUGCACACAUGUGUAUGUUACUGUCUCGUACAGUCAAACUUUGUUCCGGCGUACCCCGUUUAAAACGUUUUCACCACUAAUGUUUAGCACAGGUAGUUGGAGAGAACCUUUUUGGUGUUCACAACCCUCCCCCCAACAGCUGUGCUGUUGUUAUUUGCUUUCGCAUUCAAUGUAUAGACACAUCAUAAUACAGGAAUUGUGUUUAAUCCCUUUCAUCAAACAUGCGCUGUGAAACUGACUCUGCUUUAUAUAUAGGCCUUACUUUGUAACAAUAAUACAAGUCUGUUUGUUAAAGUGUGGGUGUGCAAGACUCAAUAGUUUGAGGUUAUUUUCUUUCCUGAGAUGAAUCUAAUCCCUUGAAAAUUAAAGGCACAAUAACAAUUUUAUUAGCUAGUUUUCCAAAAACUGCAGGAGGUGCUACAAGAUAACUUUAACAGUCUGGGACAUUUUUACACUUUUUCUUUUACGGCGUUGCCUUUUUUAGCAGGACACACGUGCUUGUGUGCGCACGGGUGCAUGUUUGUUGGAGACUGAACGACCAUGAGAAGUAAGCCUUCCAAAGUGUGUGUGUGUUUCAGCGUGUUGUGAGCAUGAGUGAUCAAAGAACAUUUGUGUGGAAGCUUUUUAGCACCUGAGCCUGGAGCAACACCAUUGGGAGAUUGUGGGUAGAUGAAGAACACACCUUCAGACCCCAGGGUUAGAAUGCAGCAUCACAGCACGAAUCAAUGGAGAAAAUAUCAGUCGGUGUGGAAGAUGAAGAGGAGCAAAAAGAAAGUGGAUGAUUACUCUGAUGGUUUAUGAAGCAAAAGGGAAGGGAGACGGCGAAGUGGGGGACCACAGUCUAACAAAUACAUCUGCUCUGUUGGAAAUUGCAACGAAAACAAUUCCAGCUGUGUUUUUUUUUUUUGUUUGUUUUCGCUGCCGAGUUGAUCUAUGCAAGUGAUCCUCAUCUAGGCUUCCCAUUCUUAUGCAAAGCUUGUGAUAGCUCAGCACGUGUGCUCAGCUCACUGAUGUAGUUUUUGAAAUGUUAUUGAAGGAGCUCAGGUGCAGAGUGAUCAGCACAGCGCCACUGCUCACUGCUUGGAUCGGGACCGUUACGCAUCUCAAGUUCAUCUGCUUGCUAACGCGUUGCAAGUGAAAUGACCACUUCAGGAUCACGCUUGUGGGAUAUCGCUGACGAAUGAUCCUUAAAAGUCCUGAUGGGUUAUUUGGUAGACUUUUUCACUGCUUCACUCAAUGCGCAUUUAUUCACACAACUGUCAACACUCACUCACACACAAUUUAAACAUGCCCGAGGGUCAUAUAAACAUAAGGCUGAUAUAGAUUUUUUUAACCCUCAGGCUUAUGUUUAUAUUGUGUGUGUGUGUGUGUGUGUGUGUGUGUGUGUGUGUGUGUGUGUGUGUGUGUGUGUGUGUGUGUGUGUGUGUGUGUGUGUGUGUGUGUGUGUGUGUGUGUGUGUGUGUGUGUGUGUGUGUGUGCGUG